ACAUUGGUGGUUUAGUGGUAGAAUUCUUGCCUUCCACAUGAGAGACCUGGGUUCAAUUCCUGGCCAGUGCA
rnacentral:tRNA from 1 species